rnacentral:rRNA from 1 species
UGCGUAGGUGGUUACAUAAGUAACAGGUGAAAGUCCCGAGCUUAACUUGGGGAUUGCCUGUUAAACUGUGUAGCUAGAGUGUUGUAGAGGAGAGCGGAAUUUCCGGUGUAGCGGUGAAAUGCGUAGAUAUCGGAAGGAACAUCAGUGGCGAAGGCGGCUCUCUGGACAACAACUGACACUGAGGCACGAAAGCGUGGGAGCAAACA